rnacentral:rRNA from 1 species
CAUGGCCUUUAUAUCCUGGGCUACACACACGCUACAAUGGCAGAUACAAUAGGUUGCGAAACCGCGAGGUGGAGCCAAUCCUCAAAGUCUGUCUCAGUUCAGAUUGUAGGCUGCAACUCGCCUGCAUGAAGUUGGAGUUGCUAGUAAACGCAGGUCAGCUAUACUGCGUUGAAUACGUUCCCGGGGUUU